CCCAAACCCACUCGUUCCCCCCCCCCAGCACAGCUGCCGGAGCCCGCCCGCCGACACCUCGCCGCGGCCCCGUCUGAACCAGCUGCUUUGAGGAGAGCUUUCGAAUGAAUAACUAAGCUGUGAAUUUCUAAGAAUUUACUCAAACUCUAGAGAGGAAUCCAUAGAGGUAUCCAAAAAUCUCUAGAGGAGCACCAGCUAAGAGUGGCUGAAGACUGUUGAUGAAAAGAAGGAACAGAUGGUGGCACCAUCCCAUCUCAGCACCAAAUACUGCCCUAGAGUUGUACGGGAUGCAAAACCCAUCCGUGUGUGAAGCAGAUAGUACUCCUCCAAAGUGUCAGACUGGUAGAUUUUAUGGUGGAUUUCUACAGCUGAGAGACAACUGUCUGUGAAUUUCCAGGUCAUGUAACUUUGCUCACUCUUGUGGAAAGCCUGAGGAGCUCCAGGAGGGGUUUAAAGAAAUCUUCCUCUCCUGUUCAGGCUGCUCCAGGCCUUUCUCUCUGUGCCUUCACAGCCAGCUCUGAUCUGUGUUCCCUUGGCUCCUCCAAGCUCCUCCAAGCCCAUGCCUUGCCACCCCAUGCAGCCACCAGUGCUACUGCCACUCAACUUUCUCCCCACUGCUGUGAGCCUCUGCAGAUCAGUUGUCCUGCCUCUCUGCCGGUGAAGGGAUCCCCCUCUCCCACAAAGGCACCUCUGUCUCUGCAAAGCACUUUGCCAGACUUUUCAUUGCAAACAGCUGAACAAGUAACAGCACUACAGCUAGAGUGACAGAUCCCCUGUUUUCCAAAGCACUGGGGUUCUGCUGAUUGAGCCAGGCACUAAGCAUUCUUGAAGAGUCAGAAGUGGACUGUAAUUGAAGAGUUCAUUACCAAGAUCAGUUGGCUCCUUGAUUACAGUGGCAAGGUGAAAUAUAUAUCCUCACCAAAAAGCAACUGCUAAACCUUUAGAGAAGUCACCCACUUUUCACUCUUUUUCAUUAGGACCCCGACAAGCUUGUCAGCAAAAUUAAAGUGUGCAGGUGGUAAAACACUGGCUGCCAUGAACUUCCUGUUAAAAAAAUAGAAAGAAGAAAAAGCUGUUGUCUGGAGACUGCUAAAUAGCAAACUGCAAGCUUGUAACGUGGCUGCUGAAAUCGCUACAAGGAUAAUAAGGCAUACACACAUUUGUGGAUAAUUCUGUUUGCUAAUUGCUCAUGAAAUUUCAGUGUCUGGAUUUCUUUACUUAAACUUUUCCAUUCUUCAGACUUGAGCCAAUUGAAAGUGAAGAAGGGAAUCUUCCAGAUGGCUGCAUCUUGAAAAACAGGUGCUGCAGUAAUUACUUUCUAUCCGAACAUACUGCACUACUCGAAGGGACUGGCCAGCACUGACCCACCUUCCAUGCAAGCGACAAUAAAGCAGAAAACCUGGGACAGGCAUUCAGCUUCAGCAGGUUGAAGAGAGGAGGGGAACAGUGUGACACAGUCAGAGCUUUUAAAUACUAUCGGUUCUUUUAUUUAAGAAGCCAAGGAGUACAAAAGGUAAAUAAACAUUUACAGUGCUCUUUUCACCAGUGCUGAAUAGAUCACAGCACGACCUGUACCCCCUCUAGUUGUCUUUCCAAAAGUCUGACUGCCUUGCUCUUUUCUAUCUCGUCUGGGCUCUUACUGCCCUUAAUAUAAUUAUAUUUGUGUUCAAUGACUGUUGCUGACCAAAAAUGGUAAUAAUUUAUAAUGAAUUAGUACCUUCACAAAUAUCACAUCCCUUUCCAUUCACAUUGUCCAUAAACAGAUGGAUUUUUUUUCCAUUAGACAUAAUUAUUCCCAAACUCAUUUGUGGAGGGAGGAUAAUUUUUUCCUCCCUAUGUAGCCAGUUCAAAGGUAAAACAUGGUAUUUGUUCUGUAGACAAAAGACAUGCUGCGCAUGUAUGCUGGUUAUGUGGCACUAUUUCUUUUCACUGGUUGAAUGAAUGUAACAAAUGAAAGUUUCUUCAUUUAAGAAAAAUUACCUGAAUUACCCGCUAGUUAUCUGUGUUAUUUGUUCAGAAUUUCUUUCCGCAAAUAUUUGUAAGUAUUCUCUUUCACUCACGGUAGCAAGCAUUGUAUUUAUUAUAUACCCACCUAUUAAAAUAGCUAUUAUAAUAGCUGGACAAAGUGAAUGUAACCCCUAGCCCUCUUACAUGCACAGGUAAUAUUUCAUAUAGAAGCUGCAGGAUUUUAUUUUUUUUUAAAUACAGAGUUCUAAUUAAGGGCUUAAUUAUAAAAUAUUUACUCAUUCUGCUGAGUGCUUAGUGGCCAGUGCUCUUGGGUCCCUUAGGAGUAGUAACCUGAGUAAACAGGAAUCUUCACUUUGGUACCUACUUAAGAGCUGUAAUGAAAAGAAAAAAAUAAAAGACUGAACCUAAAUGAAUCCCCUCCAAAUCCCUUUGAAGUUGAGUGUAUGAGGCAGCUAUAUACAACUGGCCAAAAAAGAUGACUGGCAAACCAGCCCCAGUGCUUUAUUUUUCAGUGAGACACCAAGCCAAAAGGGGUGGUUUUCUCAUACUGAUGAAGCCCAAGGUGACAGAAAUAUGGCAGAGCAUGAUCCUAUGCAGUUACAGGCCAGGAGGUAGGAAGGCCAGGACAUUUAAGCAUCGUUGAACACAAACCUACAGCCUAGCCUGGUCUUAAAACUUCAUCUAAAAAUUAAUACAGAGCCAAAUGCCCCCUUCAUAUUCCAGCUCUUUGUGACAAAGUGGUUUUCAGAGUAAGCAAUAAAUAUUUUGCUAAUUUAAAAAUCCAGUGUCCAGACACAGAAUCACUUGCUUACUUUCCAAAAAUACUUUGGAGAGGCCAGAAGUCUUCAAAACAGUCACAGUGAGCAUCUAAGCUGAACUAGCAGUACAGGGUAGCAUUCACACAGAGUAGAUGGAUUUUAGAUCAUGUGUGCAGUACAUCACUAAUGUAGUCUUCAGAUUUUAUCAAUGCUAGAGUGCAGUGCUUCAGUUAAAAAGAAAACAGUAAUAAAAUCAGUGCAAACUAUAAAGCAAACUAUUAAAAAAAAAGACUUUCUUUGGCUCAUUUACCCAGUCAGCUUUGCAUUAACUUUCCCGUAACAGGAUUCACAUAAAAUUUUUCAUGCCAAGCACAAGUGUCCUCUGGAUCCUGAAACUAUCAUGUUAGUUGAUUCAACAGAAAGAAAAGGUGCCAUGAAAUAAUGUCAAGUCUGUAUUCAUACUAGGAUAUCAAGAGGAAAAAAGUCAAUUUUAGUAUUACCAAUUUUAGUACUUACCAGCAAAAUGUAACCAUUUUUUUCACACAGCCACUUUAUAGCUCAGCUCUUGUGUUCCACCCUUAAAACCUUAACAUGUAAGCGCAACAGUUUUUCCAUGUGUAAGUGUGCACAGUUGCUCUGAAUCCCAGUUUAGGCAUGCUCUGACCACUUGGUUGUUAUGGGAGUGAUGCCUCCGUUGAAUUGGCUUUGUCCCAGGUAAUGCCACCCUGCUGUACUGGGCAUACAGAUUCACGGUAAGAGGUGCACUUACAAGCCUCCUCCAGAGUAAAGCCAAAUAUCAAAUACAAAUCCAUGCCUCUGCCAGACCAAAUGAUUUACCUUCAGCUGAAUUACACCUAUUCUUUGCCACUUCUUCCUGAACAAGUAUUCGGCUCACAUUUUAACAGAAAAUGGUUGAAACACGAAGUUUUCAGGUGAAGAAAGGGAGAAAACUGAAGUUCCUUAAAGUUACUAUGAAAUCAAUAAAUAAAUAAACACUGGAUGUGCUACAUGCCUUUCAUUUUUUCCCCCAGAAAACAGUUUCCAGAUGGAUUUUCCCCAAGAUGUUAAUAUUAUGCUGGUUUUAACGCUGAUUGAAGCAAAGUAGCAAGUGGUUAUUACAGGCCUGACAUGCCUGUUCUGCCAAGAAACAGCAUGAGCUUUCAACUCUGAAAACAAGGACUGAACUUCAGUUUUCCUGGCCCAUUAUGCAGCAGUCCUCUGUGUAUGGGAAGUGCAACUAUCAAGCAAACAAACAAACAAACAACCCCUCAAAAACCUCAAAACCAAACAAACAACUUCCAAAACCAAAAACAAAUUAGGAGAGCCCGAUCUAUCCCAAAACAGCUAAUGGAUAUUAAAUCAAGCUCAGGCUACCUCAACAGUGUAAAACUUCUUUCUCGGAUCUUCUGAAGAAGAAAUGCCUCUAGAGAUCUCCUCAGCUAGGCUGAAAUGCUUCUCUGGGUCAGGUUGUAAGCACUAUUCUUAAUGAGGUUGUCUGGUAGAGAAAGGCUUUCCAGCUGGGCCUGCUGGGGAUCAGUUAAUAUAGUAUUUGUCCCAAAUCUUUUCACAAGCUUUUACUGGACCUCUUCAGUGUCUCAUUCCGGUAUGAUGCUGGAUGUUCUAUGAGUGGCUGGUGACAGCAAUAAAACCUGAUCUAUGACUGUAAGAUGACUGUUCAUUCUUACAUCUGACAGCAAAGCCUUGCUACCCCCAAGGUGGCAUAUUCAGCUUUUCCAGACAUGUUUUUCCCUGGACCUGUGAGAAUACAUUGAAGGCUGUCUAACUUUCUCCUGUGUUCGGAAUGAAGUAGGUAAUGGUCAGCCAGGUGAGAUGGGCACCAUGAAACAACCUCUUUCCAUAACUUGUAUCCGCCAGGCAGAAAUAGGUGGGAGAGCAACUGGCCUAUAGCACUCUCACCAGAAAAAAAGGCAAGCCAAAGAUAGUUCAUGUGCAGCUCAUGAAGCUCUCGGAAAUGACUGUGUAUAUGGUUUAAUAGCACAUCCACACAAAAUUACACUUUUAAUAUUCAGUGAGAGGAAGAAGGCAGAACAGUGUAGGGCCAUAACCAGCACACAAUGCAUUACUAUUGCAACAACAACCAGCUAAACUACCAGGUAUUUAUUUUUCAGUAUUCACAAUUGUUGAAGGAGAGUGUAAAUUAUUCUUUGACACUCAGAUGGAGAUGUAGAAAGCUCUGUGCUUCCCCUAGCUCCCAUGGUCCUGACAAGGAACAACUCACAAAUUCUAAUAAAUAGAAAAUAGAAAUAAAUACUUUAACUAUAUGGCAUAGAGUUUUGAAUGGCUUUCUGAAUCAGAAAGUGCUGCUCGUACAUCUUCGUUAUUUCUACACUCUGUAAUGUUGGCUCUCCAAAAGUCAGAGACAAAGUGAGAUAGAUGCCACAAGGAUCACAGGCACUACACUGGGAAACUGAGUAUCAAUGGUACAUCCAGAUUUAUGGUAGGUGAUGGCAGUAAAGUGAAAGCAAAACUGUUUGCACAGUCUGUAGUCUUGCCCAUUACUCUGUAUUUGCCCUUUUUUUCUUGCUUAGAUACAGCUGAAAGAAUGGAGAAUUGUGCUUUCUAUACAGUAUUAGGAGACACUUUUUGAUCAUAAGGUCAAUCAGACUAGUUUACUGAUUUGAGGUAUUUAUGGCACAAUCACUCAGUGUCUUUAAGGAAAGGUUAGAUACAUUUAUGGGAAAUAUGUUUUGUAGAAACCUUCCUGUUUCAUAGAGGUCUUGGACAAAAUGACCCAAGAGGCCCCUUCCAAGUCUACCAAGUGUGGUUCCCUGAUUGAUGCUGUUUCCCCCCCAAGUCUUUUGAAAACACAAAGCACUGUUAUAAAAUUUAAUAUGGUACACUGUAUAACUUUAACACAAUGCCUUAUAGGAAAUAGUUAGUUGCCAGCACAGGGGCCUCGUGCAAAAGGAAGAAAAGAAGAAAAAAGAAAUUGCAGAACAGUUUCUCUGCCAUGGGAUAUCGACUAUAACAUUUACACUGUUUCCUAGUAUGGAAUCUCAUCUGUGCAGGGGGCACCAAGUCAUGGAGACAUGGUCCCCAGGAGAUAGUCAUUGUUUGUUUUAUUGGCCUCUUGGAUUGUUAUGCGGUGAAGGCUCUGUGUGGAAGGAAACUUUAAUGCAUUAAGAUUGCUUUAUGGGCUGAAAUCUCUCUGAGGAGAGCAAUUUCAGG